AUUGAACGCUGGCGGCAGGCCUAACACAUGCAAGUCGAGCGGCAGCGGGUCCUUCGGGAUGCCGGCGAGCGGCGGACGGGUGAGUAAUGCCUAGGAAUCUGCCUGGUAGUGGGGGAUAACUCGGGGAAACUCGAGCUAAUACCGCAUACGUCCUACGGGAGAAAGCGGGGGAUCUUCGGACCUCGCGCUACCAGAUGAGCCUAGGUCGGAUUAGCUAGUUGGUGAGGUAAAGGCUCACCAAGGCGACGAUCCGUAGCUGGUCUGAGAGGAUGAUCAGCCACACUGGAACUGAGACACGGUCCAGACUCCUACGGGAGCAGCAGUGGGGAAUAUUGGACAAUGGGCGAAAGCCUGAUCCAGCCAUGCCGCGUGUGUGAAGAAGGUCU
rnacentral:rRNA from 2 species